AUGUGGUUUGUCCUCUUAAUGACUGUCCGAAAUGCUGCUGUUCACUGUCUUUGUGAGCAGAUGAACAUUUCCAGACAUCAGGAUUUGUUUGCAGUGACCAGUUGCACCUGUCCUUUCACCUGUAAUAGUUUAAACUCACCUUUGUGCUUUUUUCAGAUGUUCCUGUGGAAACACAGUAUGCUGAUGUCACAGAGGCUACAGACAACUCAAACAAACCCACCCAUAGUGCACUGAGUUUUCUUAACAAGGCCCGUGUCUCUCCCAAGAACGCCUCCUGUAGUAACACCGAUGAAGUUGUCUCCUCCGUGUCUCGAGUACGUAGGAUGCCAGAGAUCAUCUGCUGUCCUUAACUGCAGGUCAUCUUCACUGUUGCUGCCACGACUCUCUAAAUAGAUUAAAUGAAGCUGCUUUCAGCGUCUGUGUAAAUGUUCUGGAAAAGAUUCAGAUUGUAUAAUUAAUAAUAAAUAUUUGUCUGUUUUUUUAGAAAGUGCACUUUAAGAACUUUACUCCAGUUUCUACAUGUAAAGCCUCAAACUACCAGAACCUUAAUGGAGCCACCAGAGACCUGGACCAAAUCUACUCCACACUCACAAAUCACUGACCAGACUCUCCAGAUUCAGAGCUGAACAUGAACAUCAAAAAGACAAUAAAAAUCAAAUAAAAUUAAUAUUUCUAUUCUGUGUUAAAGGCCAAGCCAAAAAAAGAUGACCUCUAAAAAGAUGACGCAGUGAGUCAGACUAGCGUCCAGUCAUAAAGCUGGCCAAGCUAGUUUUUGCACAUUUGUGAAGAAUUCAUGUAGCUGUCAUAUUAGCAGACAUAUUGGGGUUUGUUUUUCCUAGAUGAUCCCAGACUGUACAGGAAUUUAAACAAUGAUCAGAAACAUGAAAUUAAUGAGUCACCUUUCAAGGUAGCAAAACAAAAUCAUUUAAAAGUACAGAGAAGAUUGUGGUGCUGAAACUUUCUGAAGUCCAAUACAUUUUAUGGGUGGUUGAUCUUCUGAAAAACUCCUUUUACUAAACAUCAAGUAGGAUUAGAAACAACUUUAGAACUUAAUAACUUAAGUUACUUACUCAAUAAAAAGACUCUCCCUACAUCUACAGCUGUAGAUGUCUAAGGGAGGAGUGUCGAGAUUAAAUGAAUCAAACAUAAUGUUCAACCACUCACAAAGAUCCAAGUCAAUAACUGUACAUCCUAAUCAGCAAAACAAGCAGUUUUUUUGUAAAACAAUAAACUGUCAUUUACAAAUACUCGCCUCCAGAGUCGGAACAGAAGUAUGAAGGCUUGUGAAUAUGCUCUCCCAUUUUCCUGGAAUAAUGUACAGGAGCCGACACUGUGAGGUUCCUCUGACGGAGUUUAACAGCAGGAACAUGAAUAAAGGAAUUUCUUGUCUUUGUCAGUGUGACUGCUUUUGCUCUCGUUCUUGAUAUGUUAUUGAAUAGAAUCUGGAUGUUGUGUUCAUUUGUUUGCGUGUUGCUGAAUUUGUUUCUUCACUUGUGUUUUUAUUUGUUGUCAAAGAGAUUUUAAUCUGAAUGAGAUGCUUUAGCAGGACAAAUAAAGAAUUGAUGUUAUCCAGGUAGUUUAGCCACAACAUGAUAUUUAUGAUGAUAUAACAAUGAAAUCAUAUCUGUAGAACUGUAUUAUGCUUUAUGUUACUAAUCUGCCUGUUUCUAGAUCACUAAUAUUUUCAUGGGGAGCUUCCCUGUUGCUGUGAUGGGACCGAUCCUGCUGAUCCUGGGUCUCAAAUGUAAAUGAGCUCUCCUCUCAUUGGACGGCCACGUUAGUGUUCAAGUAGGACAAGACAAACAAAAAAACAAGAAAACACCCACUAAUAUUUCAGAAAAUUUGGUGUUUUAUUUUUUUUCAUUUCAAAUAUUGUAUAACAAGACAAAACUGCAAACUUCACAUUUUUCUCUCACUCAUAACUGAAAUCUUUCACUGAGCUACCAAAUAAACACAUCGCUCCUCUCUUUCUGUCCAGACACGUGGCAGCACUCCUGCUGCAAUUUUGUUCAUAUGUAACAAAAUAAAAAAGUGUUCACAUGAGUUUGUGACUCUCACUGAACUAAACUCAGCAUGUUUGUGCUCUCUGCUCAUAUUAAAACAUUUUUGGCUUUUUAUAGAACUUAUUUUAACAUUUCACUCAAAAACGAACAAAAAAGUCACUUCGGGGGCCAAACUGUGUUAUAUUUCAUCAGGUCAAUAUCUGGGCUGCCAGUGUUUGAGCUCCCUGCUCUGAGGGGAACUCAGAAACAUUUUUUUCCCUCAUAAUCGUGUAAAAGGAACUUUGAUGCUUCUGCUAUUUUCAUUUCAUCUGAAACCCACACUGAGCUUCAACACCAUGG
ensembl:lncRNA